UACGGAGGAGGGCAAGCGUUAUCCGGAAUUAUUGGGCGUAAAGCGUCCGUAGGUGGCUAGUCAAGUCUGCGGUCAAAGACUGGGGCUUAACCCCUGGAAAGGCCGUGGAAACUGACGAGCUAGAGUGCAGUAGGGGUAGAGGGAAUUCCCGGUGGUAGCGGUGAAAUGCGUAGAGCUCGGGAAGAACAUCGGUGGCGAAAGCGCUCUACUGGACUGCAACCUGACACUCAGGGACGAAAGCUAGGGGAGCGAAUGGG
rnacentral:rRNA from 1 species